rnacentral:sRNA from 1 species
UUGACUGUUUGGGGACCGAAAGUUUCUGCUUCCCACAGAGCAGACACAGUGUAGGAAUUUAUAGUGCAUCCCUACUACAGAACACUUGGUCUCCACCAGGACCUGUAGACAUGACUCCAUGGUUGAGAAGGUAGCUCCGUCUCCUCGAUCUUUCCUUUAAGUCUGCC